rnacentral:rRNA from 1 species
UACGUAGGGUGCAAGCGUUGUCCGGAAUCAUUGGGCAUAAAGCGCACGUAGGCGGUUCGUUAUGUCGGAUGUGAAAGCCCUUGGCUUAACCGAGGAAGUGCAUCCGAAAUUGGCGAGCUAGAGUACGAAAGAGGAUCGCGGAAUUCCCGGUGUAGAGGUGAAAUUCGUAGAUAUCGGGAGGAACACCGGUGGCGAAGGCGGCGAUCUGGGUCGAUACUGACGCUGAGGUGCGAAAGCGUGGGGAGCAAACAGG